CCCAUCCUCUCUCUCUCUCUCUCUUAACCGUUUUCAAAAAUCUCCUUCUCUGGAAUCCGUCCAUCGGAAAGUUAAGAAACUUGCCGUCAUUGGAAGAUGAACGCUUCUCCGUCGUUACCUCGGGGUUCGACUCUAGGGUUCAUACUUUGGGAUCUGAUUCGUGGAGAAGGAUUCAACACUUUCCUCUCAGCAGCACUGCGUGUUGUCCUGGAAGAUUCGUGAGCGGCAUGCUUAAUUGGUUGGAUAAGAAUCGGUUCAUUGUUUCUCUCGAUUUGGCAUUGGAGUCGUAUCGACGAAUUUCGCUUCCUGAUUUCGGAGGUAACAAUAGUGAUGAGUUUGAAUUGACAUUAGAGGUCUUCAAGGACAGUUUAUGUGUUCUCUCAUGCUGUAGCCAUUUCACUGAUGUGAGAGAUUGUGGGUUCCCCAGUUCAAUUAUUGUUACAAUUUGGAGAACAUUGACGGAGAAAAGCUGCCUGCCUCUCCAUUACGGCUCAUCAUCAAUGGAAGCCCUUUGCUGGGUAAACAGUGUCAGAUGAAGGACCCGCAGGUUUGGCCCAAAAUUUCCCACAUCCGCGUCAUUAAAGUUGAUGGAAGAUGGAUUUGGUAAUCCAACAACUUCAACAGCUUUUCCAUGGAAGCCAACAAGAGAUAACUUUGGCAGUUACGGUUUAGCUUUUGAUGCAUCAAUAAUAUUCAAUCAUUGUAAUACUCAGAGGAAUUCUGAGAAACAAGACAAUGAUAAUAACUGCAACAGAGGAAGGUUCUUGAGGAGAUAAGUGGUUAGGAAACCUGAUGACUAAAGUGAAAGCAACUAAGCAACCAGGGACAAUCAUGGACACAAUCCAAGAGAUUCAAGAGUGGCAUGACACACUGAUUGAUAUAGAGAGGAGCCCCAAUGAACUUCAUCAACUGUCUUGGACAUGGCUGUUUUGGUCCAAUCACAAGGUAAGCAACUCAAUGAUAUACAGAGCCACGUGACAAGAGCGAAUUCGUAUGUCUGCGGUGGGUCCAGCCGUUCCAGUUUGUAAGGAAGCACCAGAAGAAUACCGAAAGUCCACCUUCAUUGCAUUCAUAAUAUUUGAUCAUUUUCAUAUUGAUUAUUGUCCUUCUUAUUGAUCAUCGUCAUAUUUACCUUUUGAAUUUCGGUUCAUGUGUAUGUUACACUCUAAAAUUCUUCCAAACCGUCUGAUAAUAAAUUUCAGGUGCAUGAACUAAAGUUUAGCAGAUAAAUUUAGUUUUGCUUUAGUUAAUGGGAUAUUGAUUGGUGGCUAUGAACAAAUUGGACUAAUUCAAAAUCUUAUCAAGAGAAAUCAAGUCAACAUAUUCUGUCACUGUGUCAUAUAACCAUUGCAUUGUAAAAUAAUACCUUGUUUGUUUUUCUGAACCUACCCUUUUCAAGAUUGACACUCUCAUGUUCAUGGUCUGGAAGGUUAUACUUGUAGUGAAAUAAGAGUGGCAAAAAUUCACAAAUGAAACACUACAACACCAAUAAAAUGAAAAGCAUAGGGAAUUCAGAAUAUCUAAAAUGUUAAACAAUGAAAAGGGAAUGAAUUAAGAUGAUGAUGAAGACAAUCUUGAAGAAUGCCAUAGUCUGUCUACUUGCAUUCACUAACCUUCUCCAUUAGUUGACAGCAGCUCCUUAUUAUUGAGGGUUUAAUUCAUCAAUAGCCACUCUAAUCUCUUUUGAAUGCAUGUAUUUUGUUUUUUGGGAUUUUAAAAAUUUUCUUUACAUGUAUCACAUGCUAUAAAUAUUGUUGAAUUACCUUUCUUGGAGUUUAUAUAUUGGAGGAAUGAGAUUAGUUGUUUUGCACCCUUAAACGGUUAUAGUC